AACGAACGCUGGCGGCAUGCCUAACACAUGCAGGUCGAACGAUCCCUUCGGGGAUGGUGGCGCACGGGUGCGUAACGCGUGGGAACCUGCCCUUAGGUUCGGAAUAACUCAGAGAAAUUUGAGCUAAUACCGGAUAAUGUCUUCGGACCAAAGAUUUAUCGCCUUUGGAUGGGCCCGCGUUGGAUUAGCUAGUUGGUGGGGUAAAGGCCUACCAAGGCGACGAUCCAUAGCUGGUCUGAGAGGAUGAUCAGCCACACUGGGACUGAGACACGGCCCAGACUCCUACGGGAGGCAGCAGUGGGGAAUAUUGGACAAUGGGCGAAAGCCUGAUCCAGCAAUGCCGCGUGAGUGAUGAAGGCCUUAGGGUUGUAAAGCUCUUUUACCCGGGAUGAUAAUGACAGUACCGGGAGAAUAAGCCCCGGCUAACUCCGUG
rnacentral:rRNA from 1 species